CUGUAAGCCUGCGAAGGUGUGCUGUGAGGCAUGCUGGAGGUAUCAGAAGUGCGAAUGCUGACAUAAGUAACGAUAAAGCGGGUGAAAAGCCCGCUCGCCGGAAGACCAAGGGUUCCUGUCCAACGUUAAUCGGGGCAGGGUGAGUCGACCCCUAAGGCGAGGCCGAAAGGCGUAGUCGAUGGGAAACAGGUUAAUAUUCCUGUACUUGGUGUUACUGCGAAGGGGGGACGGAGAAGGCUAUGUUGGCCGGGCGACGGUUGUCCCGGUUUAAGCGUGUAGGCUGGUUUUCCAGGCAAAUCCGGAAAAUCAAGGCUGAGGCGUGAUGACGAGGCACUACGGUGCUGAAGCAACAAAUGCCCUGCUUCCAGGAAAAGCCUCUAAGCAUCAGGUAACAUCAAAUCGUACCCCAAACCGACACAGGUGGUCAGGUAGAGAAUACCAAGGCGCUUGAGAGAACUCGGGUGAAGGAACUAGGCAAAAUGGUGCCGUAACUUCGGGAGAAGGCACGCUGAUAUGUAGGUGAAGUCCCUCGCGGAUGGAGCUGAAAUCAGUCGAAGAUACCAGCUGGCUGCAACUGUUUAUUAAAAACACAGCACUGUGCAAACACGAAAGUGGACGUAUACGGUGUGACGCCUGCCCGGUGC
rnacentral:rRNA from 1 species